UCAGGCUUCAUCUGCCCAGAGACUGUUUUCCUACCCUGGACACUUCUCUGCUCUUUUCAGAGACCAUCUUAUCCAAGAUUGUCUUUGCAA